CCUCUACUUCUCUACUCUCUCCCUCCCUCUGCCUUUCUCUGCCUCUACUACCUUCUUAGCUCCCCUUCCAGAACAGACACUCUUCCUUACAAAAGGCCCGCCCUGAGAAAGUGGGGAUCCGCCGUGCUGGAGCAGUGGAGCAGGCCUUCCUCUAAAGAGCUGUGUGUCUAAUCUCACGCAAGAGGCCUGUCUGCAUUCUCAGCCAGUUUCCACACCAAGCCACAAGACAAGGACUCUCCUCCCUGUGGGACCCAGCCGGAGCUCUCUCCUUCCCCCACCCCACCACUAUUUUCAGCUCAUCCAGCCACAUCUGGCAGAGUGAGAACCUGCUGUCCCUGGCCUCCAUGAGGCAGGGGACCCACAGGCCUGCCUGUGGCACCGUGGAGAUCUCAGACUGUGCCUCCCCACCCCCGGAGCGGGGUCCUGUAGCUUCUCACAGCCCGACACCCGCCCAGUGGUGUGGGGUGCGCACAGUCAAACUUCCUGCAUCCACCUCCACGAGCAGUGACAGGACAUGCAACACCAUUUCAACCCACAGAAGAAGAGUAAAACAAGAAUUAAAGAGAGGUGGAGUGCAGAGUUCUGAGAAACCUACUGAGGGCUGCUAAGAUGGCUCAGCAAGGAAAAUCACCUGCUGUCAAGACUGGCAACGUGAGUUUGAUCCCUGGGAACUUCAUGGUUGAAGGAGAGAGUCAACUCCAGUAAGCUAUCCCUGGAUGCCCUGGUCCUCCAACACAUAUAUCAGAUACAUAAAGAUGUAAUAAAAAUAUAAAACCCAUGGAAUUAUACU